ACAAAGACUAUGAAAGGAAGAGUAGAUAUAGUACGUAGUCAAAGCGAGUUGGUGGCGGUGAGAGUCCAACACGAAGGCUAUAUUGAAGAACAUCCUGGAGUUGCUAACCGAAACAAAAGUAGGCUUAGACGGAGCCAACCCGUUAUCGAAUUGGAAUGUACUAAGAUUAUUCUUGCUACAUUAUUAAGGUGAGCUUAUUAUUAAGCUAAUCAGGGUGGUACCGCGGAAGAUAUGCCUUUCGUCCCUAUA
rnacentral:ncRNA from 1 species